AUUGAACGCUGGCGGCAGGCCUAACACAUGCAAGUCGAACGAGUGGCGUACGGGAGAGUAAUGUCUGGGAAACUGCCUGAUGGAGGGGGAUAACUACUGGAAACGGUAGCUCAUACCGCAUCCCAUCGGAUGUGCCCAGAUGGGAUUAGCUAGUAGGUGGGGUAAAGGCGCACCUAGGCGACGAUCCCUAGCUGGUCUGAGAGGAUGACCAGCCACACUGGAACUGAGACACGGUCCAUACUCCUACGGGAGGCAGCAGUGGGGAAGAUUGCACAAGGGGCGCAAGCCUGAUGCAGCCAUGCCGCGUGUAUGAAGAAGGCCUUCGGGUUGUAAAGUACUUUCAGCGGGGAGGCGUUACCCGCAGAAGAAGCACCGGCUAACUCCGUGCCAGCCGCCGCGGUAAUAC
rnacentral:rRNA from 1 species